UACGUAGGGUGCAAGCGUUAAUCGGAAUUACUGGGCGUAAAGCGUGCGCAGGCGGUGAUGUAAGACAGUUGUGAAAUCCCCGGGCUCAACCUGGGAACUGCAUCUGUGACUGCAUCGCUGGAGUGCGGCAGAGGGGGAUGGAAUUCCGCGUGUAGCAGUGAAAUGCGUAGAUAUGCGGAGGAACACCGAUGGCGAAGGCAAUCCCCUGGGCUGACACUGACGCUGAGGCACGAAAGCGUGGGGAGCAAACAGG
rnacentral:rRNA from 1 species